rfam:Candidatus Atribacteria bacterium RBG_19FT_COMBO_35_14 rbg_19ft_combo_scaffold_1930, whole genome shotgun sequence.
CUCUUAUCAAGAGUUGGUGGAGGGACGGACCCUAAGAAGCCCAGCAACCUAUGAUGCUAUAACCAAAGGCAUUAUGUCGGUGCUAAUUCCCGCGGAAUUACAAUUCCGAGAGAUAAGAA